rnacentral:rRNA from 1 species
UUGAUAAUUAAAGCUCAGGCGGUUUUUGAUGAACAUGCGUGACAUUAGCUGGAUGGUAGGGUAACGGCUUACCAAGACUACGAUGACUAGGGGGUCUGAGAGGAUGAUCCCCCACACUGGUACUGAGAUACGGACCAGACUCCUACGGGAGGCAGCAGUAAGGAAUAUUGGGCAAUGGAUGGAAAUCUGAUCCAGCCAUGCCGCGUGCAGGAAGACGGCCCUAUGGGUUGUAAACUGCUUUUAUACGGGAGCAAUAAGGUCUAUGCGUAGGCCGAUGAGAGUACCGUAGGAAUAAGCACCGGCUAACUCCGUGCCAGCAGCCGCGGUAAUACGGAGGGUGCAAGCGUUAUCCGGAUUUAUUGGGUUUAAAGGGUGCGUAGGCGGUCUAUUAAGUCAGCGGUGAAAGUUUUCAGCUUAACUGGAAAAAUGCCGUUGAUACUGAUAGGCUAGAAUAUGGUUGCUGUGGGUGGAAUGUGUGGUGUAGCGGUGAAAUGCUUAGAUAUCACACAGAAUAUCAAUUGCGAAGGCAGCUCACAAAGCCAUUAUUGACGCUGAUGCACGAAAGCGUGGGGAGCAAACAGGAUUAGAUACCCUGGUAGUCCACGCCGUAAACGAUGAUAACUCGCUGUCGGCGAUAAACAGUCGGUAGCCAAGCGAAAGCGAUAAGUUAUCCACCUGGGGAGUACGACCGCAAGGUUGAAACUCAAAGGAAUUGACGGGGGCCCGCACAAGCGGAGGAGCAUGUGGUUUAAUUCGAUGAUACGCGAGGAACCUUACCCGGGCUCGAACGUAUAGGGAAUUAUGCCGAAAGGUAUAAGCCAGCAAUGGCCGUAUACAAGGUGCUGCAUGGUUGUCGUCAGCUCGUGCCGUGAGGUGUCGGCUUAAGUGCCAUAACGAGCGCAACCCUUAUCCUUAGUUACCAGCAUUCAGUUGGGGACUCUAGGGAGACUGCCGGUGAUAAACCGGAGGAAGGUGGGGAUGACGUCAAAUCAUCAUGGCCUUUAUGACCUGGGCUACACACGUACUACAAUGGCCGGUACAAAGGGCAGCGACACAGCGAUGUGAAGCCAAUCCCAUAAAGCCGGUCUCAGUCCGGAUUGGAGUCUGCAACUCGACUCCAUGAAGUUGGAAUCGCUAGUAAUCGUGGAUCAGCACGCCACGGUGAGUACGUUCCCGGGACUU